GACGAACGCUGGCGGCGUGCUUAACACAUGCAAGUCGAACGGACAGGCCCUGCUUUUGUGGGGUGCUCGAGUGGCGAACGGGUGAGUAACACGUGAGUAACCUGCCCUUGACUUUGGGAUAACAUCAGGAAACUGGGGCUCAUACCGGAUAGGAGCUCCUGCUGCAUGGGGGGGGUUGGAAAGUUUCGGCGGUGGGGGAUGGACUGGAGGGUUAUCCGCUUGUUGGUGGGGUAGUGGCUUACCAGGGCUUUGACGGGUAGCCGGCGUGGGAGGGUGACCGGCCACAUGGGUACUGCGAUACGCAGCAGUCGCCAACGGGAGGCAGCAGGGGGGAAUAUGGCACAAUGGGGGGAAGCCUGAUGCAGCAGCGCCGCGUGCGUGAUGACGGCUUUCGGGUUGUAAACCGCUUUCGCCGGUGACGAAGCGUGAGUGACGGUAAUGGGUAAAGAAGCACCGGCUAACUACGUG
rnacentral:rRNA from 1 species